UCCCAUGUGGCUCAGUUGGUAGAGCAUGGUGUUUGCAAUGCCAGGGUUGUGGGUUCGACUCCCACGGGGGAC
rfam:Salmo salar isolate Sally breed double haploid chromosome ssa23, whole genome shotgun sequence.